GUCGGAAUAGUUUAGUAGGCUAGAACAGCGGGAUCAUAAUUCGCACACGGGGGUUCAAAUCCCUCUUCCGAUA
rnacentral:tRNA from 2 species